rnacentral:rRNA from 1 species
UAAGCAUAUCAAUAAGCGGAGGAAAAGAAACCAACAGGGAUUGCCCUAGUAACGGCGAGUGAAGCGGCAACAGCUCAAAUUUGAAAUCUGGCUUCGGCCCGAGUUGUAAUUUGCAGAGGAUGUUUAUGGUGCGGUACCUUCCGAGUUCCCUGGAACGGGACGCCACAGAGGGUGAGAGCCCCGUCUGGUUGGAUACCAAACCUGUGUUAAACUCCUUCAACGAGUCGAGUAGUUUGGGAAUGCUGCUCUAAAUGGGAGGUAAAUCUCUUCUAAAGCUAAAUACUGGCCAGAGACCGAUAGCGCACAAGUAGAGUGAUCGAAAGAUGAAAAGCACCUUGAAAAGGGGGUUAAACAGUACGUGAAAUUGUUGAAAGGGAAGCGUUUAUGACCAGACUUGUGUCGUGUGGCUCAUCCGAGGUUCUCCCCGGUGCACUCCACGCGGCUCAGGCCAACAUCGGUUCUUGUUGGAGGAUAAGAACAGUAGGAACGUAGCUCUCCUUCGGGGGAGUGUUAUAGCCUAUUGUACGAUACUCUGACGGGGACCGAGGACCGCGCUUCGGCUAGGAUGUUGGCGUAAUGGUCAUUAGCGACCCGUCUUGAAACACGGACCAAGGAGUCGUCCAUUAGAGCGAGCGUUUGGGUGUAAAACCCGCACGCGUAAUGAAAGUGAAAUUAGGUGAGAGCUUCGGCGCAUCAUCGACCGAUCCUGAAGUUUACGGAUGGAUUUGAGUAAGAGUUUUAACGGACGGACCCGAAAGACAGUGAACUAUGCUUGAAUAGGGUGAAGCCAGAGGAAACUCUGGUGGAGGCUCGCAGCGGUUCUGACGUGCAAAUCGAUCGUCAAAUUUGAGCAU